UUUCUUCUGCCCGGCAAACACCUCCUCGGUGGUGGGAAACAAGUGUCCAGCUGGCCAUUACUGCCCUGCUUCCACAUCCUUUGCUUCUCAAUUCCCCUGCCCCAGAGGCACCUACAAGCCACAGAGAGGGGGUGCCCAGCAGUCAGACUGCACACCCUGUGAACCAGGUAAGGGGACAGGUACAUAUCCCCAAUCCUACCAUGUUAGGCCACAUCUUCCCUGACCAGUGAGGGCAGGACUCAGGCCUGUCUCAGAUGGGGAUGCUUUGGCCAUAGCCCAUGGUGCACACUAGGUCAGCCCACAUUCGCUGGCUGGGGUGGAGGUACCCCAAUCCCUCUGCUCCCCAUGCCUGAGCGUCCUGUCUUCCCCUCUCUCCUACAGGUUCCUACUGCCUCCUACCUGGGCUAGUGGCUGUGUCUGGGCCUUGUAGUGCAGGGUUCCACUGUACUCAGGCAGCAGCUGUCCCAAAUCCCACUGAUGGGAUCACAGGAGACCUCUGUCCAUCGGGCCACUUUUGUCCCAAGGGUAGCCCCAAGCCCACUCCAUGCCCCCCAGGAUCCGGGAAACCCUUCCCAGAUGGGCCAUGCUCAGCAGGUUAUUACUGUCCUCCUGGCCAGACCUCAGCCACCCCUACAUCUUUCCGGUGUCCCCGUGGCUUCUACUGUCCAGAGGGAUCUCCCCAGCCAAGGGCCUGUGAGAAUGGAACAUUCCAGCCCCAGGAGGCCAAGGGGUCUUGUGAGCCCUGCCCUGCAGGAUUCUACUGUGAAGCAUCAGGCACAGGUCUCACAGCCGGUGGCCCCAGCCUGUGCCUCCAGGGCUACUUCUGUCCCCCUGGCUCCCACUCAGCCACUGCCCACCCAUGCCCUCGGGGGACAUUCGGGCCCAGGCGAGGGGCCAGUGCAGAACUGGACUGUGAGCUGUGCCCAGCAGGGAUGUUCUGCUCAUCAGAAGGGCUGUCCCAGCCAUCAGGGCUCUGCCACUCAGCCCACUACUGCACAGGAGGUGCGGUGUCUCCCACCCCCCUCAAACACAAGGUAUAUCUGCCUGGGAGGCAGUGCUGUGCCCUCACCUUCUGAUGGAACCCACGGAUACAGAUGUCCUCCUGGCUUCCACUGUCCCUCAGGGGCUCACAGCGAGCAGCCCUGUGAACCUGGCACCUUCAGCCCAUUGCCUGGGGCUGACACCUGCCUGCCUUGCCCAGGAGGCACCUACUGCCAAAAUGUUGCUACCGUGGAGCCCACCACCUGCCCCAAAGGUCACUAUUGCCCAGGAGGGACACCCUCUGCUCUUCCCUGCCCGGAGGGAACCCUGAACCUACGGGAAGGUGCUCUCUCCCCCAGGGCCUGUCAGCCCUGUCCUGCAGGAAGAUACUGCCCUGGUGAGGGCAACGGGCAGACUGAGGAUCGCUCAGCCAGUCACUACCCUGUGUACCAGAUGCAGCAUUUGUUCAACAGCAACCCCAACUGGGACUUUGGGGCCUUCAGGAGACUCAGCCACCUCGUGCGAGAGACUCACCUCAACUUUUCAAGGUUUGCCCACCAGUUCCUAGAUCCAGGCACAUAUGUGUUUCGAGACAACAGACUGCCUGAGAGCAUCAUUGUGGUGCUGGUGAAGAAGAAAGGAGUGGCCUGCGAUCCCGGCCUAUCCCCUGUGCAGCCCUCCUCCCCGUAUCAGCUUGUCAGGCAUGGGGUCCUCAGGCACGAGCUGCUAAACCUGGGCCCAGACUGGACAGUGAUCACAGGAGAACCACUCCCCUUGAAGACCCUGGAGGACUUCAGUGUCCGCACUCUCUAUGACAAGCUCGAGGACCAGAGCCUACACGUGGCCGCCCAGCUGAGCAAACACAGGAGCGAGGCACUGGCCUUCUAUAGGGGUGCCAGCCAGCAGCUCCAGGGGCUCAAGGACUUUCUCCAACACCUCAGCACAACUGAGUGGCAAGCUCUGGACAAGGGUGGAGACCCAGAGAUGGAGGCCACAGCUGCCACCAGGACAGACACUGAGCAGAGUGUGGAAUCAUGGGGCCACCACACUGCAAGUCUACCUAGGGAGCCCUGGCAGCAUCCUCUAGCUCUCAGCAGGACCUGGGACCUGGACAGCUUCCCCAGUGUGCUGCCAAAGGAGGAGGCACCGAGAGCCCAGGCUCUAGGUUGUGGAUCAUUGGGGCUGGACACAGGCAUGGAGCCUUUCCUGAGAUGCAGAGGAAGAUAUGGCAGGUGGAAAACACUUUGGAUGAACUGAAUGAGGAGUUCUUCCAGCUCACUGCUCAAGCCCUAGAACUUCAGAAGGAAAAGGACAAACCAGGUCAACUUCCCCCAAGUGAAGGCAAUACAUUUGUGGUAAGCCCAGCAGACUACCACCUCAGCUCCUGAGAUGUCCACAGAUAGCUGGGUCUCACGUGUGGGGCCCACAGAGUCACAGGACCCCAUAGAAAGGGUUGGGACCAGAAAGUCCACCAACCAAAGUUUGGUUUUGCCUGUUUGGUUUAGCACAUACUUCUAGAGACAGGGAGGACCUCUCAAUCAGCUUGGGCUUGCAGGUCUCUAAGUAAAUUGAUGGCUCGGAAAGACUGAGGAAGAGUAUGAAAAGGGAGCAAUAAAAAUAGCUGUUUAGAUGUAGCUAACUAGUAG
ensembl:lncRNA